GACAGAGGAUGCAAGCGUUAUCCGGAAUGAUUGGGCGUAAAGCGUCUGUAGGUGGCUUUUUAAGUCCGCCGUCAAAUCCCAGGGCUCAACCUUGGACAGGCAGUGGAGAACUCGCGGACUAGAGUACGGUAGGGGGUAGAGGGAAUUUCCGGUGGAGCGGUGAAAUGCGUAGAGAUCGGAAAGAACACCAACGGCGAAAGCACUCUGCUGGGCCGACACUGACACUGAGAGACGAAAGCUAGGGGAGCGAAUGGG
rnacentral:rRNA from 1 species